AGAUGAUAUGGCAUUGACAAAAAGGUGUAUAUAUUUAAAGAUGCAGAUGGUAGCUUCUCCAAUCUUACGGUACAAGCAUUUAUUAAUGUUCUAUUUAAUUGGAUAUAACACUCACUUUGAUUGAAUCCAUUUGGGACAAGUAGUUAAUAAUAUGAAUUCUAAUAUCAAUUUGAUGCUGUUUGUGUAUGUUUAUUAAGUGCAUAUGGAGAUUUAUUAGAUC
rnacentral:lncRNA from 1 species